rnacentral:rRNA from 1 species
GACGAACGCUGUCGGCGUGCUUAACACAUGCAAGUCGAACGGACAGGCCCUGCUUUUGUUGGUUUCUCGAUUGGCGAACGCGUGAGUAACACGUGUGUAUCCUGCCCCUGUCUUUGGGAUAACUUCAGGAAACUGGGGCUCUUAUCCGAUAUGAUCUCCUGCUGCAUGUUGUUGGUUGGUAAGUUUCGGCGGUUGUGGAUGUUCUCGCGGCUUAUCAGCUUGUUUGUGUGGUAGUGGCUUACCAAGGCUUUGAGGGGUAGCCGGCCUGAGAGGGUGACCGGCGACAUGGGGACUGAGAGACGGACCAGACUCGUACGGGAGGCAGCAGGGGAGAGUAUGGCACAAUGGGCGGAAGCCUGAGGCAGAGACGCCGCGUGCGGGAUGACGGCCUUCGAGUUGUAAACCGCUGUCGCCUGUGACGAAGAGUGAGUGACGGUAAUGGGUAAAGAAGCACCGGCUAACUACGUG